GACGAACGCUGGCGGCGUGCUUAACACAUGCAAGUCGAACGGUAAGGCCCUUCGGGGUACACGAGUGGCGAACGGGUGAGUAACACGUGGGUGAUCUGCCCUGCGCUUCGGGAUAAGCCUGGGAAACUGGGUCUAAUACCGGAUAGGACUCCUGGCUUCAUGGUUGGGGGUGGAAAGCUUUUGCGGUGUGGGAUGGGCCCGCGGCCUAUCAGCUUGUUGGUGGGGUAAUGGCCUACCAAGGCGACGACGGGUAGCCGGCCUGAGAGGGUGACCGGUCACACUGGGACUGAGAUACGGCCCAGACUCCUACGGGAGGCAGCAGUGGGGAAUAUUGCACAAUGGGCGCAAGCCUGAUGCAGCGACGCCGCGUGAGGGAUGACGGCCUUCGGGUUGUAAACCUCUUUCAGCUAUGACGAAGCGCAAGUGACGGUAGUAGCAGAAGAAGCACCGGCUAACUACGUGCCAGCAGCCGCCGUAA
rnacentral:rRNA from 1 species